GUCAGACCUGCUCUUAGUGUUCUCAGUGUUCUCGGUUUGUUUCCAGUGGGUUUGUUUCAACGUAAAUGGAGGAUUGUUGUGAAGCAUCUCGACUAAUGGUGACAAAGUGUUCCAGGAUUGUGCAGCUCCAGGAGAGUUUCCACCUGAAGAAAUAUGGACAGCUAUUGACGAUGAUCCUGUCUGACUAUCCGUGGAUCCAGAUGUCUAUGCAUACUUUCCUGAUUGGGUCCCUGCCUCUGACACACUGCCAGCUGCUGUUCAGGAUCAACUGUAUUAUGUAAAUUGGUGGUUUUCUUUUUAAUGUGUAGUUCCAGUUUUGCUAGAAGAGUAUCAGACUGGACCCCUGACAUCCUGAACUGCACCUUGAAGCGAUCAAGAUACUUCUGCAGCUCCUUUAUCAGUCAGUGAAACGCUCCUUCCACACUACUUGAUGUGUCAUGAGUUGCUGUGUUUGUUUUCAGUGUCUUACCUCCUUGUUGUUUGUUAGUGUUUGUUAUUCCCCACCUAAAGGCGACUCUGUGGGGCUAACAAUAAUCCCACACAUGAAUCCAUAUAACCACAAAAACUCAUUUUAACACUUAACAAAAAGGGAUUUAAUAUAAAAUGACAAAAAGGAAUAAACAAUUCAACAAAGAUCAACAAUACAUGAACAUGACAAAACACAAGCACACAAAUCCCUUGAAGGAGCGACAGACAGGCAGCAGUCCUCAACUCAGAUGCCUCUUCCCUACUGCAGGCAUCUGUGGACUUUUAAAGGCCCACCGCCAGGUGAACCUCAUUGCCUCAAUUAAGAGGCACCUGCAGAGAAGAAGGUGCUAGAGGGGGAGGGACACAUUACAAACAUACAGCUGUAACAGUGUUCCAUGUCUUGUAUUCCUUGUGUGUUAGUUUUCACUUGCGUGUUUGUAGUUAAGUUUUUAGUGUUUCCUGUUUUAUUUUGUAGUUCUUCCUCCCUGUGUGUCUGAUUUAGUUUCACUUCCUGUCCUUAUGUUUCCUUCCAGUGUUGUUUGCAGCCUGAUUCCUUUCACCUGUGUCUCACCUGUGUUAGAUCACCCUCUGUGUGUUUGGUCUCUGUGUUUCCCUUCUUGAUUGUCAGUUCAUCGUAUGUCUAGUUUCUUGGACAUUUUAGUAAGUUUUGUUUGUAACUUUGGCCUUUUGUUCUUUUGUGAUUAAAUCUUUAUUUUUCUGCACAUGGGUC